rnacentral:rRNA from 1 species
AGAGUUUGAUCCUGGCUCAGGAUGAACGCUAGCGGCAGGCUUAACACAUGCAAGUCGAGGGGCAGCACGAGGUAGCAAUACUUUGGUGGCGACCGGCGCACGGGUGCGUAACGCGUAUGCAACCUACCUUUAACAGGGGCAUAACACUGAGAAAUUGGUACUAAUUCCCCAUAACAUUCGAGAAGGCAUCUUCUUGGGUUAAAAACUCCGGUGGUUAAAGAUGGGCAUGCGUUGUAUUAGCUAGUUGGUGAGGUAACGGCUCACCAAGGCAACGAUACAUAGGGGGACUGAGAGGUUAACCCCCCACAUUGGUACUGAGACACGGACCAAACUCCUACGGGAGGCAGCAGUGAGGAAUAUUGGUCAAUGGACGCAAGUCUGAACCAGCCAUGCCGCGUGCAGGAAGACGGCUCUAUGAGUUGUAAACUGCUUUUGUACUAGGGUAAUUUGCGGUACGUGUACCGUAUUGAAAGUAUAGUACGAAUAAGGAUCGGCUAACUCCGUGCCAGCAGCCGCGGUAAUACGGAGGAUCCAAGCGUUAUCCGGAUUUAUUGGGUUUAAAGGGUGCGUAGGCGGUUUGAUAAGUUAGAGGUGAAAUACCGGGGCUCAACUCCGGAACUGCCUCUAAUACUGUUGAACUAGAGAGUAGUUGCGGUAGGCGGAAUGUAUGGUGUAGCGGUGAAAUGCUUAGAGAUCAUACAGAACACCGAUUGCGAAGGCAGCUUACCAAACUAUAUCUGACGUUGAGGCACGAAAGCGUGGGGAGCAAACAGGAUUAGAUACCCUGGUAGUCCACGCAGUAAACGAUGAUAACUCGUUGUCGGCGAUAUACAGUCGGUGACCAAGCGAAAGCGAUAAGUUAUCCACCUGGGGAGUACGUUCGCAAGAAUGAAACUCAAAGGAAUUGACGGGGGCCCGCACAAGCGGAGGAACAUGUG